AACGAACGCUGGCGGCAGGCUUAACACAUGCAAGUCGAACGGGCACCUUCGGGUGUCAGUGGCAGACGGGUGAGUAACGCGUGGGAACGUACCCUUCGGUUCGGAAUAACCCAGGGAAACUUGGGCUAACACCGGAUACGUCCGCAAGGAGAAAGAUUUAUCGCCGAAGGAUCGGCCCGCGUCGGAUUAGCUAGUUGGUGGGGUAAUGGCCCACCAAGGCGACGAUCCGUAGCUGGUCUGAGAGGAUGANCAGCCACACUGGGACUGAGACACGGCCCAGACUCUACGGGAGGCAGCAGUGGGGAAUAUUGGACAAUGGGCGAAAGGCCUGAUCCAGCCAUGCCGCGUGAGUGAAGAA
rnacentral:rRNA from 1 species